UCUUCUAGGUGGCAGAGUGGAGCGAUAACAAGGGUCUUGUUGGGGUACCAAGCACCAAGUACCACCAGCACAAGCCCGACAUCCCAAGGAACAAGACUUACAUCGUGACGAGCAUAUUGGAGGCGCCCUACCUCAUGUACAAGGACCCCAAACACCCAGAGGAGGGCUACGAGGGUUACUGCAAGGACCUCGCCGACCUCAUCGCCAAGAAGCUGGGCAUAACAU